rnacentral:rRNA from 1 species
AUUGAACGCUAGCGGGAUGCUUUACACAUGCAAGUCGAACGGCAGCGCGGACUUCGGUCUGGCGGCGAGUGGCGAACGGGUGAGUAAUGUAUCGGAACGUGCCCAGUAGCGGGGGAUAACUACGCGAAAGCGUAGCUAAUACCGCAUACGCCCUACGGGGGAAAGCAGGGGAUCGUAAGACCUUGCACUAUUGGAGCGGCCGAUAUCGGAUUAGCUAGUUGGUGAGGUAACGGCUCACCAAGGCGACGAUCCGUAGCUGGUUUGAGAGGACGACCAGCCAAACUGGGAACGAGACACGGCCCAGACUCCUACGGGGGGCAGCAGUGGGGAAUUUUUGACAAUGGGGGCAACCCUGAUCCAGCCAUCCCGCGUGUGCGAUGAAGGCCUUCGGGUUGUAAAGCACUUUUGGCAGGAAAGAAACGUCGCGGGCUAAUACCCCGUGGAACUGACGGUACCUGCAGAAUAAGCACCGGCUAACUACGUG